GGGUACAGUGAGGGGAAUUGUUUCCUUAAGGAAACUUUGUGAAUUCGGACAACUUGGCCUUAUUCAUUUCUGUUUCAUCUAUUUUUGAAAAAAAUAAAAUACACCUCUUGGAAAGGUCAUUUUGAUCUUGUGUUGAGGGUAUUUGAUAUAGUUCAUUGUGUUCUUGUUUAUACUUGAACUCUAGUUGAAGUUGUAGUUCUGCAUAUACAGAUUCUGCGUACCUGUAGAAGGAAAUAACAAGUAUAUCAGACAUAAACGUCAACCUAAUACAAUUUACAAGAAGAUAUGGGUGAUAGGGUUACCUUUUAAAAUGGCCUUUUUCAUGUGGAGACUACGAAAAUUUAAGAUCCCAGUGGAUGAAAGAGUGAGGAAUAGUAAAAUGAGGGACCAUCGGGGUUCUGGUUCUGUGAGUGACCCGAUCAAGAAG
rnacentral:lncRNA from 1 species